rnacentral:lncRNA from 1 species
AAAUUUAUUGUGCGAAAGUGUUUAACGAGUUCGAAAGACUUUAAUCGAUAUUAGUUAUUGUGAAUUAAGAAAGUUGUUCCAAGUUUUAGUGCCUGAUACGAAAGUAAUUCAUCAAAAUCAACGUUACUUCUCAACCAUACAGGAUAUUCUCACCGGAUAUUCUUUCGGCGGUUUGCCCGUGUUUAUGCUGUAAAUCCUCUGGAAAACUUUCAACGCAUCGUCCAUACGACCCUGCGACAUGAGAAACUUUGGACUUUCCGGAAACAUGAAGAGACAAACAACACCGAUCAGUAUUGGUAUACUACAGGCAGAUAAGAAAAAUCUCCAGGAAUUGUAGACAAAUGCUCCGUCCCAAAGAACGAUGGACCACUCUUGAGGAAUGAUGAUCAACGCGAGCGCUAUAACAUGAAUUGAUCCAACUCGUAAACAAAAUGUUUUACAAUCUGUCGUAUAUAUCAUACCUGAGCUUACGAUAUUUCCAAGUGUGAUGCUAAAACCGAUCAGUAAUGGUAUUUUCCCUCUUCCUUUGUUUCCAUAGAAUUCAGAAGAGUACGCCACGAUGGAAGCGUGAGGACCGCUUAUACUGACAUCGCAUUCUGCAGAAGGAAGAAUGAUCCCAACACUGGAAGUGUUAAGGCUUGUUGACCAUGACACAGGAAUAAUUGAUAGAAGAAGAAAAUAUUGAAACUUUCCAUAACCAGCUGCGGUAAUGGCUCUCUCGAAAUUUGCAGACUUCUCCGUUUUAUUUUCUAUAUCUGUUACUUUACAAAUAAAAUUUCUUUACG